GACGUAGGGGGCCAGCGUUGCUCGGAAUUACUGGGCGUAAAGGGUUCGUAGGCGGUGCGGCAAGUUGGGAGUGAAAUCUCUGGGCUUAACCCAGAGGCUGCUUCCAAAACUGCCGUGCUAGAGUGCGAGAGAGGCCAGUGGAAUUGCAGGUGUAGCGGUGAAAUGCGUAGAUAUCUGCAGGAACACCCGUGGCGAAGGCGGCUGGCUGGAUCGCAACUGACGCUGAGGAACGAAAGCGUGGGGAGCGAUCCGG
rnacentral:rRNA from 1 species